rnacentral:lncRNA from 1 species
UCCGCGCUCUUUCUCUCCAGCCUACCUCGUCGCGGAGGCAUCCUUUUGCCGGCCACUCCUCCUCUUGUUGCUUCAUUGUUGGAUCUGCAGUCGUCGCUACCCCGUGGCCCGUCAUCCGCCACCUCCGCAAGCAGCGAGAAACUGAGGCGGGAUAACAAUUAUCAUCCCGUCGUCGAUGAGGUUUCGAGGGUGUUUCAUUCAGCGGUAAGCUUCCUUUCCCUACUUCGCUCCUCCAUUUUAUUCGUGCUCAUGCUUAUGCUUUGCCCUUUCGCCUUCCCCNNNNNNNNNNNNNNNNNNNNNNNNNNNNNNNNNNNNNNNNNNNNNNNNNNNNNNNNNNNNNNNNNNNNNNNNNNNNNNNNNNNNNNNNNNNNNNNNNNNNNNNNNNNNNNNNNNNNNNNNNNNNNNNNNNNNNNNNNNNNNNNNNNNNNNNNNNNNNNNNNNNNNNNNNNNNNNNNNNNNNNNNNNNNNNNNNNNNNNNNNNNNNNNNNNNNNNNNNNNNNNNNNNNNNNNNNNNNNNNNNNNNNNNNNNNNNNNNNNNNNNNNNNNNNNNNNNNNNNNNNNNNNNNNNNNNNNNNNNNNNNNNNNNNNNNNNNNNNNNNNNNNNNNNNNNNNNNNNNNNNNNNNNNNNNNNNNNNNNNNNNNNNNNNNNNNNNNNNNNNNNNNNNNNNNNNNNNNNNNNNNNNNNNNNNNNNNNNNNNNNNNNNNNNNNNNNNNNNNNNNNNNNNNNNNNNNNNNNNNNNNNNNNNNNNNNNNNNNNNNNNNNNNNNNNNNNNNNNNNNNNNGAUCUAUCUAGGAGCAUAGUUGCUAUCCAAGAAGGGGGUUUACACCAAGAAGCAAAAUAAGAAAACCAUCUGGCCUAAGAAGGUUUGUGUAUCUUUCCCUAAAAAAAUAGAAGGUUUGUGUAUCUGCUGCAUGGUGGUCAAGUCAGAUCUUGCCUUCUCGUACUGCGUGUCUGCCUGUCCUUCUGGCCUAGGAAGUUUUGUCUCACUCCAUCCUUCCUUUCCACUGCGGCGCCGCCCUGUCCUUUCAGAUAGACAUCAGCUUCUCCUCUGCCACAAGAAGCUCUGAACGGCGCACAGGUGCCUCGAUAUUCCCAAAGAUGGACACGUAGGUGCCAUAUAUGGGUGGCGUACACUUAAUCUGUUGAUUAGUAGUGGAGUAGGAGAAUAUUGAUGAGUACAUAUGUGAAUGUUUACAUAGUACUCCACUAGCAUCCACCACUAAUCCCCUGCUUGAUUGGGGAAAUUUAAUGUAGGAGGCAGACAGUAGAUGGGACAAAAGAAAGAAGGAAAAUAGAUCCUUUGCAAGCUAGAGGUCCCUAAAAGAAUUGAAAGAAAAUAGAUCCUUUGCACGCUAGCUGGACAGUUUCAAAUUAUUAUUUUUUGCUUGUCAAGGAGUUAAUUGUGUCUAAACUUGGAGUACUCUCUUCGAAACCACUUAAUGUUCUUCAAAAGUUUGUUCAUUAAUUCUUUGGCCCCGGCGUACGUGCGUAUGGAUGAACCAUGAUGAACAACACCCCAAAGAAAGAUUCUUCUAUGGAAAGAGAAUACUACCAACCACACAGUCUGAAAGCCAAAGGCAAUUCAGUAAAGGAAAGGGACAAGAGAACAUCUGGUUAAUCUAUUAUAGGCACUGAAAUAUCGGAAAUAUCUUCGAUUUUCAUCAUCGUCGAUGGAUCAUCACCACAAGCUGGAACGAAAUCCGGAUGAUCCAUCUGUGUUUCCAAGUUCCAACACGCCCGCCCGCAGACCCGAACACACUAGCUAGCACUCAACCCACGCAUGAUCCUUCGAUCAUCACAUACCUGACCGCCUAAUUAAACCAACUCUAAUUAACAAAGCAACGAGACGAGGCCGGAGACGGCGUCUAUCCGGCCGGCGAGGGCGCGCGAGAUCCGCGUCGACGGAUCUCACGCCCUGAAGCAGGCGGCGAGGUGGAAGUGGAGGUGGCCCGAGGAGGAGCCGUGGUGGUGGUGGCCGCCGGAGACGAGGCGGCCGGAGCCGGAGCCGCCGUGCCGCUGGCCGUCGAUGAUGGCCUGCACGCGGCGGAAGUUGUCGACGCCGCAGGGGAUGGUGAUGGCGCCCUGCUGCUGGAAGCCGUACUCCUCCUCGGCCUCCUUGAGUAGGCCCACGAAGAGCGGGUGCUUGAGGUAGCCCACCGGCACCACGAACCUCUCCUCCUCCUCCGCGCGGCCGCCCGGCCCCACCACGCGCACCGCCAUGCACCCCUUGGGCGGCAUCGACGACCCGCCGCUCGAGCCCCCCGCCGCCGACGAGUGCUGCUUCCUCAGCAGGCUCACGCCCAUAUAUGUCGAUCUAUACGCCUACCCUGCACCAAGAAAGAAACGCUCUCUCGCUCGCUAGACCACGACGGCGACCGGCGUCCGACGGCGGGCGUCAGAGCGCGGGGCGGCGGCACGCUGGACGCUGCAUGGUGGCCGUCAAGGAGGACCACGGGGGAGUGGCUAGCUAGGGUUGGUGGUGGUGCUUGGCCCGUUGGGGUUCCCGGUCUCGGCUACGGCGCCUGUGCCUGCCUCGAUCUGCCCGUGCGUGCCCUGCGCUCGGUGCGUCUGGUCCGGGAGGGGGCGGGGGCGCGUGUGUAUAAGAGGCGGGGGGCGCGGGCUGCUUUGUUUGUUGCCAUCUGCCGCUCCCUUUUCCGUAUUCCGUUUAUCUUUCCACCAGGUAUAUCGAAAAUCUUUUUUUUUUUGCAGGGAAUAUCGAAAAUCUUUGCUCAUAAAUGUGGCACAGUACUGCAGUAUCUGCGCGAAAAUGAUCUCGUGAUUAAUCCCCACGUUUAUUGUUCAGCCAUAAUAUGUUUAUUUUUCCUGUUUUACGCCGAUCUGGUAUAUUUAGGGCUUAUUUAGUUGAGAUUCGGUUCCCCUCUGAAAUCUUAUCUCGCCGUAUUGCGCGCAUUUAUUUCUCAAGAUAAUUCUACACGUGACUAUGGAAAAAGAUUAGCGUAUUCAAAAAGAUUAGCGUUUUGAAUACGCUUUUAAUACGGGGACGGGAGAGGGGCAUCUGAUCCCCCGGGGUAUAGCUAGGCAGGCUACUGUGUGUGUAGCAGCUGGCGGAAUGCCGUGUGUUGCAUAGACAGUCUUUUUGUGUGUGUGCGAGAGGGAUCUCUAGUGCCGUGUGUCGCAUAGUCUCUUGACACUUCGGUUGGUGAUGCUACUGCUAGAGUAGAGCCUAGAGCUCGGUGGGCACUAAACACGGGCGCAGGUCGGUCCAGCCCGGUGAACAACUGUAUACACCAGUACCUAGUGCGACAAAAACAUGUACUACUAUUUCCUCCGUUGUAAAUUACUCCUUCCGUUACGAAUUAUAAGAAGUUCUACUUCGAUUUAGUGUAUAUACAAAAUGUAUAUAGACAUAUUUUAGUGUGUUUGUUCACUCAUUUCAAUUGCAUAUGUAGUCUAUAUUAAAUAUCUAGAACGUCUUAUAAUUCGAAACAAAGAUGAUAUUUACAAUCUAGGUUAGUUCUAAGUCAAUUUUUUAUAUGUUUAAGCAAGUUUACUGACAAAAGAAACCAACAUUUACAACGCCAAAUUAGCUUCAUUAUGGCAUCUCCAACGCCAUUCUCUAAAGCAGACACACUAUUCGUUUGCGGACUGGUUCGGAUUGGUCUGUGAACUCGGAUACAAGAGCCCGCCAUCCAACAAUAUCCGCUCGUAAUGUUUUUUUAUCCGCAAAAUUCAAAAUAAUGAUAGAAAAUAACACAAUUCAUCCAUAAAUAGCUUGCAAAUAUUCCUAGUAUAACAAUAGCUAAACAAGUGUAAAUAUUACAUUCGAGAUAACCAGAUGUUCAGCAAGUUUUUCGAAUCCAUCGAUUCCAAAUUCAACGAUACGCGAGUCAUAAUCGACAGAUAUCCUCCCAUGCACCGUUGCCCUUAAGCUUCACCCAAUAAUGUUGAAUGUAAAUGGUUUGCUCUCGGUCCUGUAGUAUAACACAACAAUGUUAAACAAUGAGUGAAUCAAUGAACUGAUCAACAUGUAGAGCAACAAGAAGCAAACAUUACAAUCUCCAUGGUUGACGAGCCUGAUGGGCACUUUGUCUCCACUUGUGCAACCACGCCGCAAUACUUUAUGAAGGCGUUAGAGAUGGUGAUCAUCGAUUGGCUAAUGACUUCACAUUACGAUCAUGGAUCACGUGCAUGCCGGAGGGCGCGAAGUGCUUUUCCUCAAGAAAUGAAGCACGCUUGUUUUGUAAAAACACUGAGCCCCAUUGCCUCAUGCCUUCAAAGUCCGCAUAUAUGACCUUCCACGCAUCGCACAACAACUCAUACUCCAUCACCGAGUACCUCGUCAUCGUGCUUACUCUAGAAAACAAAAUGAAGUUCAACAAAAAACAUUAUUGCAUUUGACCGAAUACCUGUCGGGUGUGGUGUCCACCAUGAACGACGUCGACAGGGGGCGGAGGGUUGCUGGAUACAGACGGACCCUGGGUGGAUGAUGGCGUAGUCCAAGGCGGGCAGGCGCGUAGGUGGGGGCUAUGAACGCCCGAGGAUGUCUGGGCGAUGGUCGGAGAGGUACAUCUGCGACGCCGGAUGAUGGGAAUGCAGAUCAUAUCUUUAGCUCCUUGUGGGUCCGAUACUCCAUACUUAUCACUUCAUCACUGGAAAGUGAUACGACAAUUUCUUAAACACUUGGGGAUUAUCAAGCUCUUUUCUAGCGUCAUUGCCGGGGAGCAAUAACGCAGGGUGAAUAUUCUCGUGUGCGCUUAUUUGCUUUAUCACUAAGUACAUUUUAUUUUUUUAUUCUUAGUUGUUUUCUAUCUUUAAUUAUGGAUAGUGUAGGAUGAAAAGUAUGUCUAUAGAGGGGGGGGGUGAUUAGACUACUUGACCAAAUAAAACUUACCAUUUUCCCAAUUUUAGUUGUAGGCAAGUUUUAGCAAUUCUACCAAGUCAAAUACACCCUACACAUGCAAGUCUAAGAGUUGUGCAGCGAAAAGUAAAACCUUUGCAUAUGAACGUAAAGGAGGGAUUACCCCGCAAAAAAACGUAAAGGAGGGGUUGGAUAUUUCAAACGCAAUGAAGACACGAUGAUUUUUGGCGUGGUUCCAAUAGUGGUGCUAUCGUAAAUCCACGUUGUUGGAGACUUCAACCCAUGGAGGGUAACGGUUGCGCGAAUCCACGGAGGGCUCCGCCCACGAAGGGUCCACGAAGAAGCAACCUUGUCUAUUCCAUCAUGGCCAACGCCCACAAAGGACUUCCCUCACUCGGGUAGAUGUUCACGAAUUAGGCAAUCUCCUUGCCCUUACAAAACCUUUGUUCAACCCCACAAUAUUGGAGGCUCCCAAGUGACACCUAACCAAUCUAGGAGACACCACUCUCCAAAAGGUAAUAUACAGUGUUGUGGAUGACGAACUCCUUGCUCUUAUGCUUCAAAUGAUAGCCUCCCCAACACUCAAACACUCUCUCACAAAUUUGGCUUUGGUAGGAGAGGGGAUUGAGUGGAAAGCAACUUGGGGAAGGCUAGAAAUCAAGGUUCAAAUGGUUGGAUUGGAAUCUCUUGAUCUCAACACAUUAGUAGGUGGUUCUCUUCUCAGAAAAUGAGUAGUGGAAGUUGUGUUUCAUUUUGAUGGCUCUCUUAGAGAGUAGGUGGUGGUGGAGGGGUAUAAAUAGGCAGUACCAAAAAUCCAACCGUUACAAGUCUUUGACCCAACUCAGUGACAUCGACAUGAAAAUCUCGGUGAGACCGACUAGUGCAAAAGACUUGACCGUUAUGCUUUUCGGUGAGACCGAUCAUACCAACUCGGUGGGACUGAAGUGCGAUGGCUAGGGAAAGACAUUGUUUUGGAAAUUCCGAUCGGUUCAUCUCGGUGAUUCCGAAAUGAAGCAACUUCAUCGCAGAAACAUGGUCAGGCCAUCUCGGUGAGACCGAGAUCCGUUUCGGUUGCAUCGAAGGAUUGCGGUUUGGCAUGUGGCGGUAUAUGAGGUCAUCUCGGUGGGUCUGGAUGGGAGUUAUUCGGUGGGACCGAGAUGGAUAUUUACGGUUUUGGAUAAGAUGGAAGUGGAGAAACAUCUAAGAGUUUUGGAGCAAUAUCACUAAGCACUUGAGCAAUUGAGUCAUGAUCAAAACCUCAUCCCCUUUUAAUAGUAUUGGAUUUCCUACGGGCUCAAUGUGAUCUUGGAUCACUUAAAAAUGUAGACCCGUCAAGCUUUGCCAAUCUUUAUCCUUUGUAUUUGAGGGGUCCACAUCCACUACUCUUUGCCAUGCAAAUCAUUGAUCUUCUCUGAAAUCUAUUAUCAAUGUGCAUUAGAUCAAUGACAUAUAUGUUGUUAUUAACUACCAAAACCACCUGGGGAUUAGUUGCACUUUCAAUCUCCCCCUUUUUAGUAAUUGAUGACAACAUAUAGAUCAAAGCUUCGACAAAAGAUAUAAUGAAUGAAAUACAUCGUCGCUUUGAGAAGUAUGUGAUAAGCAAGAGCUCCCCCUAAAUCUGUGCAUUAUUAAAAAUUUGUGUUUGAAUGCAAAUGCAUAAUCGAUUAGGAUCAUGAGUUACUCUUACAUGUCACAUACAUCUUAGUGGAGCGCUCAAAAUGAUAAGAUUGCAAUAUAAUAAGCACCCGUCACCAAUCAUCCAAGUGAAUGAUCAUACAAAGAGCAUAAGAAUGAAUAUCCAAGAAAGCAUAGCAUCAAAGUUGGGUAUGAUCAAGCACACAAUAAAGUAGUCUCAUACAUGCAUCAAGCAAAAGUAACUCAAAGUAGUAAGAAUCUCUCAAAGAAACCAAACGAUAAAUGCAAAAGCACUCUCUUGAAGCCAAAUGAUCUAUACUAAUUCUCCUCCUUUGGCAACAAGUACCAAAAAGCUCGAAGAAGUGUAGAGCUAAACCUCGCUCUAGGCUUGAUCUCUGGCGGCUCCUGGUGGUGAAGUCCUCUGACUUGCAGCACCAUGUGCGUAGACGUCGGAGUGGAGCGAAGUGCAUACACGAAGAGCUUUGACGGCGUCUGCUGUGCUGGAGGAGUAGAGAUGGUAGGAGGCACUAAGGGGGCAACCAAAGGUGUAGUAGCUGGAGCUGAAACUUUAGCUCUGGAGGUGACUGGCACUGCAGCUGAUCUGGGCAUCGUCUGAAACUGAGUGGUCAUCGAAAUGCCUUCACCUGGGUGCUCCUCAUCAUCUCUCGAAGACCGUGCAGUGGCUUCAUCCACCUCACACUCUCAACAGUGGUCUGAACCUCUAUAACCUUGACAUCCAUAUCAUGAAUUUUAGUCUCAACUAUCCUCUCAAGGCUCUUUUGGUUCUCUGUGAGGUCGGCCAAACUCUGCUCAAUCCUUUGAUUUUCUUGAAUGAGAAAAAGCAUCUGGUCAGUCUUGGUCUUGAGCACUGGAGUUAAGGGAGCACUAGGUCAUGUAGCUCUUGCGGCCUCUGCCUCGGCAUGUACUACGACUGAGGUAGCAUGGGAUGGAUCCAUCAUUACCGUGUUAUCCUCGAACUCGGGCUGAAGCGGCAUAUGCUCAUGAUCUAGCAAAAAAGACUUGUUUCACUCUUCGAGUUAAUGAGCAUCUGAAUGUGUGGGGGCAAAACCACAAGAUCUCUUCUGGUCAGCAGCUAUCCUCUUGUCAGUUUUCACUAUAAGAUCCAUGACUUUGAACUUCUCAUGUUGAUCAAUGUGACAAAACAUGUUGAUGAAGUGACCUUGGAUUAUCUUCUCAUCGCCUGACUUGGGCAUCAAUGUAUGCCUCGUGAUGGUGUUGGAGGUACCAAGACUUGCCAACAAGUGAUAGAGUGAGCCAAGCUUAUGAGAGUCAUUGUACUUCUCAGGAAUCUUAGUGUACAUGUUAGCCAUGGAAUUGUGGUUCAGCUUUGGCUUAGCAUACACAUCAAUAUCAUUCUCAUCAGCUUUAGGCACACCCAACAAAGUGCCCCACUCAAGUACACUGGAGUGGUACCUGACUCCUUCAGUUAUCCAGACUAUUCUUCCAUCGGGAUAGAAGUGAGCUGUCAAGUAAAAUUGCAUUUUCAUCUUGUCAUUCCAUGAGCUUAUUCCCAGUGAACGCAUCAACACCAACAAUCCUGAAAUCCUCAUGAACAUGGCGGAAGUGAUCCUCAUGCUUGUCAAUGAACUUCCAGUCCACCCACCUCAUGUCACUUACUACGGGCUUCUUGUCAAGGAGCACAGUCUCAUAGAAGUCUUGUUGUUCUUCGGUGUAGAAACGAUAGUCCACAGUAGUUCUCCUUCUAAUGGACUAGGGGUCUGACUCUCUCCAUUUUUUCAAACCUUUGUCCUUCCUCUCCUUCAUGUUUUCUGCCAUAGGAUGAACAUCAUUGUGUUCUGGCAGUCUGGCUCUAAGCUUCAUUAGCACUGGGGCUUCAUCGUCAGCUUCUUCUCUCUCAGGCAUUGGGGCCUUGUCCUUCUCUAUAGCAGAGAUUUUCAUGGUAGUCCUCCCCUUUGGCUUGGGGGCAGCAGCAAAUUUGGAGGUUGUGGCUGCUUUCUUUGGCAUAGCAUCAGCCAUAAGUUUUUGUUGCUUGGCUGGAGGAGGCUUAGCAGUCUCUGGAGCAUCAUCUCUCCUCAUAUAAGUGGGCUUGAAUGUCACUUGGACAGAUUCCUUUCUCACCCUUUUCCUCCCUGCAGCCUUGGCCAUAGAUUUACUAGCAGUUGGCCUUGUGUUAGCAGAUGUGCCAUAUUCCUUGGCAACAACAUUUUUCUUCUUCUUAGAGGUCACUUCCUCAACAUGGAAGUUCUCAUCCUCAUCAUCUGAGUUCUUCUUCUUCCUUGUUCUGGUAGCUACUUUAGGCAAGAUUGGAGAGCUCCUCUCUCCCUCAUGAUAGCUCUCUUCAACACUAGUGCCUGCAUCUAGGUCCAAGCCGACCUCUCUGGAAUUGUUAUGACUAUCACUGGCCUCAGACAUGUUAACAAUUGACAUUGUGAAUAGAUUAUGUGAGGCAGAGUGAACGAGUAUCACAAAAUGCACCUAUUUUUGAAAGAAAUUGAGUUCAAACUUUAGUUUUAGGUUUUCACAGAAGGCAUAUCAAAAUUACCAAUUUGAUAAUUUCGGUAGCUUAGGAAGCAACAACAGAGAUUUGGCCAAACUGUUUCGGUUAGACCGAUGUGUGUCGCGGUCUCUCCGAAGUGCUAGGGUUCUACUGAGAUUUUAGGGUUGGUUUCACUAAUUAGUACAACUCGGGGGCACCAAAGUGUACUUAGUGCAAUGGACAGAGGCCAAACCAGUGAAGCCGAUCCUUUCAAUUCAGCCAAUACGAGAUGAAUUCUAUGCAACCCUAACCCUAAAAUUUUUGCUCAACACUAAUCAAAGGAAUUGAAGUGGGUAAUGAAUAUCAGUCCGUGGCAAGAAGACUAGCCAACCGUGCAUUGAAUUGGAAUAUGGAAGCACGGGAGGGAGCGAAUCUCACCCUAACUUGGUGGAGAUCCCCUACGGCGACAACGACGGAGGUGAUUUUCGUUGACAGCGGCGGAAUGCAACAGCGAGGGCGCGCUAGAGACGAGGGCGACGAUCCGGAGACCAUGGUGGCAGAAACAACAGGGUGUGGGGGCGUAAUGAUUUAAGAAAUUUUGAAUGUACGGUCCGCAUACAUAUAUAUAUAUACCGGUGUGCUGUUGGUAGUACCGAAUCGGUCUCACCGAGAUGCAUAACUGCCAAAGACAGUGUGCUUCGGUGAAGCCGAAUUUUUCAAAUUGAUCAUACCGAGAUAGAAAUAAGGAUUAGUCUAAGUGCUUCGAUGGAGCCGAGUUUGAGUGAAUUGGUCUGACCGAAAAACACUUAGAGGGUUUUGGAAGUCAGCCCUAAGCAGAUCGGUGACUCCGAGUGCUCCUCACCCGGAGGGUCCGAAAACGAGCUUGUUCAAAUAUGUGAUGUAGCAUGAAGAGAAUUUGAGACAAGAUGAGAUAGAUAACUAGAGAAAGUGCUUAGGCAUUCUUGUACAUCCACUUGGCCAAAUAAAACCAAAUCAAUCAAACUACAAAUGGAUGCCCUCGAAUGAGAAAUAUGUAUAGCAACAUGCUCACACAAUAAGAGAGCAAAUAAAAUAUGUGUCAAACAUGCACAAUCAACACUAGCAACUAGCAAACAAUGGGCGAUGACAUAGUCAUCUAUAUAUGAGUAUAUUAACUUAGGAGUCAAAUGAGAACACUUGAUCAUAGGUCAUACUCUUCUCUUGGAUUUAAGCACAAGUGGGGUUACCACUUUUACAUAAAGCAUUAAUGUGUUCACACCAUUACAGUUGCUUUGAGUCAAGUCUUAAAGUAAAACUCCCCCUAGAUGUGAUAUCCCCCCCAAAGAGGGAUGGAAACCUUGGGUUUUGUCGAUGAUGACUUAUGUUGUGAAUGUGGAUGCUCAAUGUUGAUGUAGUCCAUCAAUAGUUGGGAACAAUCCUUGGAGUUUUACACUUCCAAUACCUACAUGGGUUGGUCCCACAAGGAACAAACAAGGAUAUCCAUAGACAUAGAGUGAAAUGCACAUAUGAUGAUGUCCAUGAAAGCAUUUAAUACCUUGUCCCUUAUCUUACCAACAAGAGGGUUUGUGACUCCAUGAACUAAUGCAAGAUGUUGAAGUUGGUUGCACAAGUUCUUGCCAUAAAUGAAUAUGCGUGAAGUUUGUUGGCGGAGUCACCCUCAAGAACUCUCUAGUUCUUCUUCUUUGGGCCCCACAUCAAUUUGAUGGGAAUACAUGGAGUGUAGUAGCACUUGAUGAAGUAGAACUUGAUGAAGUCUUGGGAACCCAUUUGACCAAAGCUUGAUGUGGUUCUUCAAAUGAGUCAAUCUCUUAAGCUUGUCCUUGCCUUUUAGCUUGUGGUAUUGUGGUGGAAGACCAUCUUGAGCUUGUGUUCCCUCAAAAGAAGUGGGGCCAUACUUCUCUUGUUGAGGAACAAACGUAGUCUUGGGGUAUUGAUCUUCUUCCCACUCAACUCCAUUGGCAUUGAACUUUCGUUCAAAACCAAUACCUUGGUUCUUCCAGUGCCUUCCUUGCUUGAGUACAAUUUCCUCAAAUUGCUUACUUCCGGCAAGGCUCUUGUAGACACCUUUUCCUCUAAUUACUUUCAAUAUAUUUUUUUCUUGCUCAAGUGUAACUUGGCUAAGAGAAUCAUUAGUGGAAUCAAUAGAACUACUAAAAGUAACAAUACUAGAUUUAGCAUUGUUAUUGUUGCUACUAGAGGUAGAAACUUUCUUACUCUUGUUACUAGCUUGAGUAGAUUUAACUUGUGGCAUAAAAGUACACAAGAGGAGACAUUUGACAAUGUAAGAAGAACUCUUGUUUCGAAGAUCAUCAUUGAUUGCUUUUAGAAGCUCAUGCUCUUGCUCUAAAUUUAGCUUCUCGAAGCGUAGCUUCUCAUGAGUUCUUAGAAGCUCUCUAUAAUCUUCUUGAGUUGUUUCAUGAGCUAACUUAAGAGUGUUUGGUUCUUUAGUUAGAUGCUCAAUCUCCUUAUUAGCAUUGUCAUUCAUUUUGUCUUGACUAUCAUGAUUACUAGCAAGUUCAUUAUAGAUCACAUCACUAGUUUUAUCAACAAGAAAAUCAUCAUCACCUAGCAAAUCAUCCUCAUCACUAUUGAAAUCAAGAUACUUAGGGUGUGAUACCUUGGGGACUUUAGCCAUGAAGCAUCUUCCAAUUCCUUCAUUUGGUGAAUCAAAUAUGUUAUGGGAGUUGGAGGAUACAAGAGCAAGUCCGGCAACACCUUCAUCUUGACUAUAGUCGGAGUCGGAGUGAUAACUUCUCUCAGAGUUGUUGUCAGAGUCCGAGCCAGAAACCGAUUCACCAACAUGAGCUUGAUGUAUUCUUCUAGAAUAGCUCUUGGUUCACUUGUAUGUCCCUUAUGAUUCCUUGUUUCUUUGAGAAGGUCUUCAUUCAUAACGAUCAUCUCUACUCCUCCUCUCUCUACGAGGUGAUUCAUCUCUCCUACUGGUUCUUUUAGGUGAGUCUUCUCUUUUCUUGUGAGGUAUCAUGCACUCAUUUGAGUAGUGUCUGGGUCUUCCACAAUUGUAGCAAUUAUGGUUAUGACUUGAUGAUCUUUGCUCAUAUGGCCUUGAGUUGGAGCUUCUUUCUUUGCUUCUAUUCUUGUAGAAUUUGUUGAAUUUCUUCACCAUUAGGCUUUAUUCCUCAUUGGAUAUACUAGCUUGUCACUUGAUGUUGUAGGAGCAUCACUUGAAGCUUUGUACCCACCACUUGACUUGUUGUGGAGCUCCUCCUUAUCCUUGAGUGACACCUCAUGAGCAACAAUUCUUCCAAUGACUUUCGUGGGCUUGAGAUCUUUGUAAUUGGACAUCAUUUGGAUCAAUGUGCAUACGGUAUCAUGUCUUCCAUCCAAGGCUCUAAGGAUCAUCUUGAUGAUGAAUUUUUCGGUCAUCUCUUCACUUCCUAAGCCGACAAUCUCAUUUUUUAUGAGAGCAAGCCUAGAGUACAUUUCGGCGACUUCUUCACCAUCCUUCAUCUUGAACUUGUCAAGUUGACUUUGAAGCACAUCCAACUUGGAUUCCUUGACGGACUUGGUACCUUCGUGCAUAUCAACCAAUGUAUCCCAAAUUUCAUUUGCAUUCUCGAGGUGGCUAAUCUUGUUGAACUCCUCGGGGAAUAAACCAUUGAAGAAUGGCACAUGCUUGAGUGUUGAAUUGCAACAUCUUCCGCGGUUGCUUCACGAUACGGUUCUUCUCCAUCCUCAAAUAAUUCACCUUGCAAGCCAACAUGAACAAUAGCCCAAAUGGCAGGGUUAUAACCAAGAAUAUGCAUUUUCAUCUUAGGCGUCCAACUAGCAAAGUUUGUACCAUCAAAAUAUGGACCUCUAUGGUGAUAGUUUCCCUCACUAGACGCCAUACUCUCCUAGGUUGUGAAACCAAUGCAAUGAAGACCAAAGAUCUAAUACCACUUGUAGGAUCAAAAGUAUGUCUAGAGGGGCGUGAUUAGACUACUUGACCAAAUAAAACUUAUCUGUUUCCCAAUAUUAGUUGUAGGCAAGUUUUAGCAAUUCUACCAAGUCAAAUACACCCUACACAUGCAAGUCUAAGAGUUGUGCAGCGGAAAGUAAAGACUUUGCAUAUAAAUGUAAAUGAGGGAUUGGAGAUUUCAAACGCAAUGAAGACAUGUUGAUUUUUGGCAUGGUUUCGAUAGGUGGUGCUAUCGUACAUCCACGUUGAUGGAGACUUCAACCCACGGAGGGUAACGGUUGCACGAGUCCACAGAGGGCUCCACCUAUGAAGGGUCCACGAAGAAGCAACUGUUGGGGAACGCAGUAAUUUCAAAAAAAUUCCUACGCACACGCAAGAUCAUGGUGAUGCAUAGCAACGAGAGGGGAGAGUGUGUUCACGUACCCUCGUAGACCGAAAGCAGAAGUGUUAGCACAACGCGGUUGAUGUAGUCGUACGUCUUCACGAUCCGACCGAUCAAGUACCGAACGCACGGCACCUCCGAGUUCAGCACACGUUCAACUCGAUGACGUCCCUUGAACUCCGAUCCAGCCGAGCUUUGAGGGAGAGUUCCGUCAGCACGACGGCGUGGUGACGAUGAUGAUGUUCUACCGAGGCAGGGCUUCGCCUAAGCACCACUAUGAUAUUAUCAAGGUGGAUUAUGGUGGAGGGGGGCACCGCAAACGGCUAAGAGAUCCAAGGGAUCAAUUGUUCUGUCUCAAUGGGGUGCCUCCCUCCCCGUAUAUAAAGGAGUGGAGGAGGGGGAGGGGGCCGGCCACCCUUGGCGCGCCCCAUGAGGAGUCCUACUCCCACCGGGAGUAGGACUCCCCCCUUCCAUGUUGGAGUAGGAGAGUAUAGGGAAGGACAGAGAGGGGGAAAGGAAAGGGGGGGGGCGCCGCCCCCCUCCUUGUCCAAUUCGGACUUGGGGGGAGGGGGGGGGAGGGGCGCGCGGCUGCCCCUUGGCCGCCUCUCCUCUUCCACCACUUGGGCCCAUGAGGCCCAAUAACCUCCGGGGGGGUUCCGGUAACCCCCCGGCACUCUGGUAUAUAUCCGAUAACCCUCGAAACCAUUCCGGUGUCUGAAUAUAGUCGUCCAAUAUAUCAAUCUUCAUGUCUCGACCGUUUCGAGACUCCUCGUCAUGUCCGUGAUCACAUCCGGGACUCCGAACUACCUUCGGUACAUCAAAAUACAUAAACUCAUAAUAUAACCGUCAUCGAACUUUAAGCACGCGGACCCUACGGGUUCGAGAACUAUGUAGACAUGACUGAGACACGUCUCCGGUCAAUAAGCAAUAGCGGAACCUUUAUGCUCAUAUUGGCUCCCACAUAUUCUACGAAGAUCUUUAUCGGUCAAACGGCAUAACAACAUACGUUGUUCCCUUUGUCAUCUGUAUGUUACUUUCCCGAGAUUCGUUCGUCGGUAUCUCAAUACCUAGUUCAAUCUCGUUACCGGCAAGUCUCUUUACUCGUUCCGUAAUACAUCAUCCUGCAACUAACUCAUUAGUUGCAAUGCUUGCAAGGCUUAAGUGAUGUGCAUUACCGAGUGGGCCCAGAGAUACCUCUCCGACAAUCGGAGUGACAAAUCCUAAUCUCGAAAUAUGCCAACCCAACAAGUACCUUCGGAGACACCUGUAGAGCACCUUUAUAAUCACCCAGUUACGUUGUGACAUUUGGUAGCACACAAAGUGUUCCUCCGGUAAACGGGAGUUGCAUAAUCUCAUAGUCAUAGGAGCAUGUAUAAGUCAUGAAGAAAGCAAUAGCAACAUACUAAACGAUCAAGUGCUAAGCUAACGGAAUGGGUCAAGUCAAUCACAUCAUUCUCCUAAUGAUGUGAUCCCGUUAAUCAAAUGACAACUCAUGUCUAUGGUUAGGAAACAUAACCAUCUUCGAUUAACGAGCUAGUCAAGUACAGGCAUACUAGUGACACUCUGUUUGUCUAUGUAUUCACACAUGUAUUAUGUUUCCGGUUAAUACAAUUCUAGCAUGAAUAAUAAACAUUUAUCAUGAUAGAAGGAAAUAAAUAAUAACUUUAUUAUUGCCUCUAGGGCAUAUUUCCUUCAGUCUCCCACUUGCACUAGAGUCAAUAAUCUAGAUUAUACAGUAAUGAUUCUAACACCCAUGGAGUCUUGGUGUUGAUCAUGUUUUGCUCGUGGAAGAUUCUUAGUCAACGGGUCUGCAACAUUCAGAUCCAUAUGUAUCUUGCAAAUCUCUAUGUCUCCCACCUGGACUUGAUCCCGGAUGGAGUUGAAGCGUCUCUUGAUGUGCUUGGUUCUUUUGUGAAAUCUGGAUUCCUUUGCCAAAGCCAUUGCACCAGUAUUGUCACAAAAGAUUUUCAUUGGACCCGAUGCACUAGGUAUGGCACCUAGAUCGGAUAUGAACUCCUUCAUCCAGACUCCUUCAUUUGCUGCUUCCGAAGCAGCUAUGUACUCCGCUUCACAUGUAGAUCCCGCUACGACGCUUUGUUUAGAACUGCACCAACUGACAGCUCCACCGUUUAAUAUAAACACGUAUCCGGUUUGCGAUUUAGAAUCGUCCGGAUCAGUGUCAAAGCAUGCAUCGACGUAACCAUUUACGACGAGCUCUUUCUCACCUCCAUAAACGAGAAACAUAUCCUUAGUCCUUUUUAGGUAUUUCAGGAUGUUCUUGACCGCUGUCCAGUGAUCCACUCCUGGAUUACUUUGGUACCUCCCUGCUAAACUAAUAACAAGGCACACAUCAGGCCUGGUACACAGCAUUGCAUACAUGAUAGAGCCUAUGGCUGAAGCAUAGGGAACAUCUUUCAUUUUCUCUCUAUCUUCUGCAGUGGUCGGGCAUUGAGUCUUACUCAACUUCACACCUUGUAACACAGGCAAGAACCCUUUCUUUGCUUGAUCCAUUUUGAACUUCUUCAAAACUUUGUCAAGGUAUGUGCUUUGUGAAAGUCCUAUUAAGCGUCUUGAUCUAUCUCUAUAGAUCUUGAUGCCCAAUAUAUAAGCAGCUUCACCGAGGUCCUUCAUUGAAAACUCUUAUUCAAAUAUCCUUUUAUGCUAUCCAGAAAUUCUAUAUCAUUUCCAAUCAACAAUAUGUCAUCCACAUAUAAUAUUAGAAAUGCUACAGAGCUCCCACUCACUUUCUUGUAAAUACAGGCUUCUCCAAAAGUCUGUAUAAAACCAUAUGCUUUGAUCACACUAUCAAAACGUUUAUUCCAACUCCGAGAGGCUUGCACCAAUCCAUAAAUGGAUCCCUGGAGCUUGCACACUUUGUUAGCUCCCUUUGGAUCGACAAAACCUUCCGGUUGCAUCAUAUACAACUCUUCUUCCAGAAAUCCAUUCAGGAAUGCAGUUUUGACAUCCAUUUGCCAAAUUUCAUAAUCAUAAAAUGCGGAAAUUGCUAACAUGAUUCGGACAGACUUAAGCAUCGCUACGGGUGAGAAGGUCUCAUCGUAGUCAAUCCCUUGAACUUGUCGAAAACCUUUUGCAACAAGUCGAGCUUUAUAGAUAGUAACAUUACCGUUAGCGUCAGUCUUCUUCUUGAAGAUCCAUUUAUUCUCAAUGGCUUGCUGAUCAUCGGGCAAGUCAACCAAAGUCCAUACUUUGUUCUCAUACAUGGAUCCCAUCUCGGAUUUCAUGGCCUCAAGCCAUUUAGCGGAAUCUGGGCUCACCAUCGCUUCUUCAUAGUUCGUAGGUUCGUCAUGGUCUAGUAACAUAACCUCCAGAACAGGAUUGCCGUACCACUCUGGUGCGGAUCUUACUCUGGUUGACCUACGAGGUUCAGUAACAACUUGAUCUGAAGUUUCAUGAUCAUCAUCAUUAACUUCCUCACUAAUUGGUGUAGGCGUCACAGGAACCGGUUUAUGUGAUGAACUACUUUCCAAUAAGGGAGCAGGUACAGUUACGUCAUCAAGUUCUACUUUCCUCCCACUCACUUCUUUCGAGAGAAACUCCUUCUCUAGAAAGGAUCCAUUCUUGGCAACGAAUGUCUUGCCUUGGGAUCUGUGGUAGAAGGUGUACCCAACAGUUUCCUUUGGGUAUCCUAUGAAGACACAUUUCUCCGACUUGGGUUCGAGCUUAUCAGGUUGAAGCUUUUUCACAUAAGCAUCGCAGCCCCAAACUUUAAGAAACGACAACUUUGGUUUCUUGCCAAACCAUAGUUCAUAAGGCGUCAUCUCAACGAAUUUUGAUGGUCACCGCAACGAUAUUAUCGAGGUGGAUUAUGGUGGAGGGGGGCACCGCACACGGCUAAGAGAUCCAAGGGAUCAAUUGUUGUGUCUCAAGGGGGUGCCUCCCUCCCCGUAUAUAAAGGAGUGGAGGAGGGGGAGGGGGGCCGACCACCCUUGGCGCGCCCCAUGAGGAGUCCUACUCCCACCGGGAGUAGGACUCUCCCCCUUCCAUGUUGGAGUAGNNNNNNNNNNNNNNNNNNNNNNNNNNNNNNNNNNNNNNNNNNNNNNNNNNNNNNNNNNNNNNNNNNNNNNNNNNNNNNNNNNNNNNNNNNNNNNNNNNNNNNNNNNNNNNNNNNNNNNNNNNNNNNNNNNNNNNNNNNNNNNNNNNNNNNNNNNNNNNNNNNNNNNNNNNNNNNNNNNNNNNNNNNNNNNNNNNNNNNNNNNNNNNNNNNNNNNNNNNNNNNNNNNNNNNNNNNNNNNNNNNNNNNNNNNNNNNNNNNNNNNNNNNNNNNNNNNNNNNNNNNNNNNNNNNNNNNNNNNNNNNNNNNNNNNNNNNNNNNNNNNNNNNNNNNNNNNNNNNNNNNNNNNNNNNNNNNNNNNNNNNAUAUCUGAUAACACCCGAAACCAUUCCGGUGUCCGAAUAUAGUCGUCCAAUAUAUGAAUCUUCAUGUCUCGACCAUUUCGAGACUCCUUGUCAUGUCCGUGAUCACAUCCGGGACUCCUAACUACCUUCGGUACAUAAAAAUACAUAAACUCAUAAUAUAACCGUCAUCAAACUUUAAGCGUGCGGACCCUACGUGUUCGAGAACUAUGUAGACAUGACCGAGACACGUCUCCGGUCAAUAACUAAUAGCGGAACCUGGAUGCUCAUAUUGGCUCCUACAUAUUUUACGAAGAUCUUUAUCGGUCAAACCACAUAACAACAUACAUUGUUCCCUUUGUCAUCGGUAUGUUACUUGCCCGAGAUUCGAUCAUCGGUAUCUCAAUACCUAGUUCAAUCUCGUUACCGGCAAGUCUCUUUACUCGUUCCGUAAUACAUCAUCCCGCAACUAACUCAUUAGUUGCAAUGCUUGCAAGGCUUAAGUGAUGUGCAUUACCGAGUGGGCCCAGAUACACCUCUCCGACAAUCGCAGUGACAAAUCCUAAUCUCGAAAUACGCCAACCCAACAAGUACCUUCGGAGACACCUGUAGAGCACCUUUAUAAUCACCUAGUUACGUUGUGACGUUUGGUAGCAGACAAAGUGUUCCUUCGGUAAACGGGAGUUGCAUAAUCUCAUAGUCAUAGGAACAUGUAUAACUCAUGAAGAAAGCAAUAGCAACAUACUAAACGAUCAAGUGCUAAGCUAACGGAAUGGGUCAAGUCAAUCACAUCAUUCUCCUAAUGAUGUGAUCCCGUUAAUCAAAUGACAACUCAUGUCUAUGGUUAGGAAACAUAACCAUCUUCGAUUAACGAGCUAGUCAAGUAGAGGCAUACUAGUGACACUCUGUUUGUCUAUGUAUUCACACAUGUAUUAUGUUCCGGUUAAUACAAUUCUAGCAUGAAUAAUCCCUGUUUUCCUUUGCGAAGGGCCUAUCUAUUUACUUUUAUGUUGAGUCAAUUCCAUCUUUCUUUCUUUCGGCAUCACCUGUUGAGCAUGGGAGUUACUCUUUGCUUUGUAUGCAUUCUUCUAAUAGUAAUUAGUCGAGUAUUGCAUAAGCAUGAUGGUUAUCUUUAAAUUGGGGUACCUAGUUAUCAUCUUUACUUCAUCUGUUGCUUUAUGUUGACAAUAUGGUCUUGAAAGAUUUGCGAGAUACUUCAUUAUCACUUUAUGAUAUGUUGAAUUUAAUGUAUGUUACUUGUUAUUAGAAUUACCAUUGUCUAUGUGAUCAAAGGUUUUUUCUAUCUAUCAUUCACACUUCAAAAAUAAUUCUUUUUAUCAUCUACCUACUCGAGGAUGAGUGGGGAUUAAGCUUGGGGAUGCUGAUACAUCUCCAAUGUAUUUAUAAGUUUUGAACUAUUCAUGCUAUAUUUACAUCAUUUAUUUAUGUUUUUGGUACAAUAUUUCUUUGGACUAACCUAUUAAUUUAGUGCCAAAUUCAAUUUCCAAUUUUCUAGUGCUUUAGGAAAUAUAGGUAAAAAUAACAUGGAGCUGAAACAAAUUGAAUUUUUUGUGCAUUUUUUAUGGAAUAUAUCAGAUUUUUGGGAGAAGGAAUUGAUGUAAGGCGGUACUUGACAGCGCCACACGGCCUCCCGGUGAGGCCAGGGUCCCACCCACGCCACCUAACAGCAUGGCAGAUCCCUAACGCGGUUGGGGAUGUACUUUGGCCACAAAAAAACUAAUUUAUGAAAUCGUAUGAAAAUUUCAGCCCGAGCGGAGUUACGGAUCUCUAGAUAUUUAAGAAAUGGUGCUUAGCAUCAGAAAAAUUAGCAAAAAAAGACAAACAAAGAGUGAAGAGAGCCAAUCUUGGAGGGGCUCUCGCCCCUUUAGGGGCCAUGGAGAUCAAGGACCAGUGGGGAAAACGUCUUCCGAUCUCGGGGAGAGGCCAUGGAAGAAUAAGGAGGGGGGCUCUCUCCCCCUCUCUCCCGAUGGAUUUGGAGUGCCGCCAGAGGAAUCAUCAUCACAACGAUCGUCUCCAACAACUUCGCCGUCUUCAUCAAAAUCUCCAUUACCUUUCUCCCUCUCUAUUCAGUAGUCCACUCUC